UGUGUGUCUCCUACCGUGCAGGAGGCUGGUGAAGUGGUGUGGGUGUGUCUCCUACCCUGCAGGAGGCUGGUGAAGUGGUGUGUGUGUCUCCUACCCUCCAGGAGACUGGUGAAGUGGUGUGUGUGUCUCCUACCCUCCAGGAGGCUGGUGAAGUGGUGUGUGUGUCUCCUACCCUCCAGGAGGCUGGUGAAGUGGUGUGUGUGUCUCCUACCCUCCAGGAGGCUGGUGAAGUGGUGUGUGUGUCUCCUACCCUCCAGGAGGCUGGUGAAGUGGUGUGUGUGUCUCCUACCCUCCAGGAGGCUGGUGAAGUGGUGUGUGUGUCUCCUACCCUCCAGGAGGCUGGUGAAGUGGUGUGUGUGUCUCCUACCCUCCAGGAGGCUGGUGAAGUGGUGUGUGUGUCUCCUACCCUCCAGGAGGCUGGUGAAGUGGUGUGUGUCUCCUACCCUCCAGGAGGCUGGUGAAGUGGUGUGUGUCUCCUACCCUCCAGGAGGCUGGUGAAGUGGUGUGUGUCUCCUACCCUCCAG